rnacentral:rRNA from 1 species
UAGGGAAUCUUCGGCAAUGGACGGAAGUCUGACCGAGCAACGCCGCGUGAGUGAAGAAGGUUUUCGGAUCGUAANGCUCUGUUGUAAGAGAAGAACGAGUGUGAGAGUGGAAAGUUCACACUGUGACGGUAUCUUACCAGAAAGGGACGGCUAACUACGUGCCAGCAGCCGCGGUAAUACGUAGGUCCCGAGCGUUGUCCGGAUUUAUUGGGCGUAAAGCGAGCGCAGGCGGUUAGAUAAGUCUGAAGUUAAAGGCUGUGGCUUAACCAUAGUAGGCUUUGGAAACUGUUUAACUUGAGUGCAAGAGGGGAGAGUGGAAUUCCAUGUGUAGCGGUGAAAUGCGUAGAUAUAUGGAGGAACACCGGUGGCGAAAGCGGCUCUCUGGCUUGUAACUGACGCUGAGGCUCGAAAGCGUGGGGAGCAAACAGGAUUAGAUACCCUGGUAGUCCACGCUGUAAACGAUGAGUGCUAGGUGUUAGACCCUUUCCGGGGUUUAGUGCCGUAGCUAACGCAUUAAGCACUCCGCCUGGGGAGUACGNANANCNAGGUUG